GUCGGCCAGGCAACCGCUGCGCUUCACGGCGUGGAGGAAAGUCCGGGCUCCACAGGGCAAGGUGCCAGGUAAUGCCUGGGGGGCGCGAGCCCACGGACAGUGCAACAGAAAGCAAACCGCCUAUGUCAUGGCUCGUGCAAACGGGUGAUGGCAGGUAAGGGUGAAAGGGUGCGGUAAGAGCGCACCGCGCCGGUGGCAACAUUCGGCGGCACGGCAAACCCCACCUGGAGCAAGACCAAAUAGGGAAGCGCGCGGACCUUCGGGUCCGUUCCUGCGGCCCGCAGGGGCUUCCGGGUAGGUCGCUCGAGGCGCACGGCGACGUGCGUCCCAGAUGGAUGGUUGCCCACGACAGAACCCGGCUUAUCGGCCGACUCCCACC
rnacentral:RNase_P_RNA from 1 species